UACAGAGGUCUCCAGCGUUGUUCGGAUUCAUUGGGCGUAAAGGGUGUGUAGGUGGCGCCGUAAGUCGGGUGUGAAAUUUCGGAGCUUAACUCCGAAACUGCAUUCGAUACUGCGGUGCUUGAGGACUGGAGAGGAGACUGGAAUUCAUGGUGUAGCAGUGAAAUGCGUAGAGAUCAUGAGGAAGACCAGUGGCGAAGGCGGGUCUCUGGACAGUUCCUGACACUGAGACACGAAGGCCAGGGGAGCAAACGGG
rnacentral:rRNA from 1 species